rnacentral:lncRNA from 1 species
CUCCUAUGAAGGUGAAGCAAAGGGGAACUUGAUUAUUCAAUUGGAAAAAAAGGUAUCUUAUUUGCACCCUGGUAUUUUGGAAGUGACUUUCCAAGUACCUGACCAGAGACCCCAGCUUUCCUCUCUCACUCACAACCAGCCAGCUCCCCAUUAGCCCAUCAGAAUCUAGAGUGUUUAGUUCCGCAUUCCACUUUUGCUUAUUCCUAAAUCACAUUUACAAGGUUAACACCCCCAGUCCCUUGCAAUCUCUGGUUUGUUGUUUUUCUUGUUUUUUGUUUGUUUUUCCUUAGGGUAAGGUUUUCUGAUCCAUUGUCAGAUUCAUUGACACCUAAGCCACUCUAGUCUGGAAGUUACCAGAUUUAUUGAUAGCCUUUUAAAAAUACUUACUAAAAUCUAAAGGGGAACUGCAGAAUUGGUUAACACAAUUCAGGCUAAAGGAGGCUGUCAGGAUGACAGGAACAGGUCCUCCUCAUCAGGAGAAGUCUGGAACUUUCACUCCUGUUUUUCCUGUAUGUGUCUUAUAAUAUUAGAACUGUGGAUCUCAGCCCUACCAGACCCAACCCUCCUUCCAUCCUUGUUAAUAAUAAAUAUUUUGUAACACUUUAUUUUCUAUAUGAAAUUCCC